AGUGAACGCUGGCGGCGUGCCUAAUACCUGCAAGUCGAACGAAGUGGCGCACGGGUGCGUAAUAUAUAGUUAAUCUGACCUACACAGAGUAACAACAGUUGGAAACGACUGCUAAUACCUCAUAGUGUAGUAUGAGACUAUAUCGUAUCAGCUAGUUGGUAAGGUAAUGGAUUACCAAGGCUAUGACGCGUAACUGGUCUGCGAGGAUGAGCAGUGACAUGGGAACGAAGACACGGUCAGAACGCCUACGGGAGGCAGCAGUAAGGAAUAGUGCGCAAUGGGGGAAGCCCUGACGGAGCAAGGCCGGGAGGAGGAUGACACUUUUCGAGGCGGAAACUCCGUUUGGCAAGAAAGCGGGACCUGAUGAAUAAGCGACGGCUAACGCCGUGCCAGCAGCCGCGGUAAUUC
rnacentral:rRNA from 1 species